rnacentral:lncRNA from 1 species
UCUCGAUCAGUGGUGUUUUUCCGAACCUCUUGAUCGGAUAGUGCCCGAAGCGUGUCUGUUCAAGUAGUAACGAAAUAUAUGAAUAUAGAUGAAGUUAAACACUGACAGAAAUAGGAAUUUUCAUUUAUAUCAUUUGAGUUGAAACGAUUACAUGGUUAAAACAAGAACGACAUAACUAUUACUGGUAAAAUUUUCUAAGUCUUCCAGCAUGCCAUGUAUUCUUUACCUCCGAACCGUCCAU